CGGGGUGUGUACCCCAGAAGGCAUCGAGACCAACGUUAAGCUUCGUUUUGCUGGUGUUGUCAGCGUCGCCAUUUUUUUGCGACAGGAAAACCGCGGAACGAAGUAUCAUGGAUACCCCUGAUUGUUCUACCGAAGGCAGCAUCAGGGCUGGGACCACUUUAGUCCUUCAACCUUCAAGAAGUAAUGAGGCUAGGCUGGCUACAAAUACGACAUGCGGUCUAUCCCGAAGUGUGACGCUAGCCGUGGUGUUCAGGUUAAACGAGGAAGAGCUCAUUCUUGAGCUGGCUAGGAGAGGCACACCACUUGUUGUUCUUGGGACCAACAGUUCAACAGAAAUGAUGAGACUGCUCUUGGAAUAAAAUAGGGCAGAGUACAGUGACUGAGUCGGUUCUGUCUCGAGAGGUGUCCUUAGCUGUGCUGCCUAGGCUGAACACGGGCGAACUACUUUACGAGCUGGACCGGAGGGGCAUAACUCCCGCUCCAGGGGACAGCCGAGUAGGUCUCAUGAAACGUCUCUGUGAUGAGGUAGGGAAGGAGUACUUUAGCCGGGAAGAAAGUUCACUGAAUGUAGGAAACAACACAAGAAAUACCCCAACGCAGGAAGUACCUACCGGAGCAGAGGAAACAAGCCAGGCCGCGCCAGUACAGGAGAAACCAUCUGGAGCAAUGGCAACAGCUGCUGCUGAAGAAGAGGAAACGGAUAAUGCAGAACCCACUGAAGCAAAGCAGAAGAGGAAACAAGCUCAAGAUAAAAGCAUUGAACCGAGUUCCAAGAGAAGCAACAGAGGUGAAGAGGCAGCAGAGAAUACUGUCGAGCAAGAUCAAGAGCCUGGAACUGGUCUUGGUGCAGGGUCAAGCGCUCCGGAUCCUACGGGAAUGUCUAAUUUGGACCGUGAGCACCCCAUCAUUCAGUAUAGUAUCACUGAGAUAUCACGUGCCAACAGUCCCAAUUACUUCCCCUGUCCCGUGGAAGGGUGUGGCUACACGGGACGCUCCAGAGGUAAUCUUCAUCAACACAUUAUAGGGAGGCACGCUGAAGAGAAAUCGUACGUAUGUGAUGUGUGUGGCUUUAGGACAGCUUGGAAGGGAUCUCUAAAGAAUCAUAGAAAUACUCAUAGAUAAAUAAGAAAUAUCCCCUCUAAAGAAGGCAUGUAAAAAUCCACAUUUGCUGAACAGCAGGACCGUCAAAGCGCAACAGAACAACCCCAAUUGUGGGAGGCACUUGCCAGAUGACCACCAAAAGAAACAGAAAAUAGACAAAAAACAAGUGAGCAGACCUCGAAAUCUACAAAUCAAGGAUUGUUGAUAAAGAAAAGGUCAAAGCCGAAUCAAAAGAGCUUCACAUGAAUACAUGUAGUACUACUUGUAGCCACUAUAAUUGUCUAGAAAUUAGUGUGCCUUUUUGUGUUUUAUAAGUGACGUUAGUAUCAGUC